rnacentral:rRNA from 1 species
GUGUCAGCCGCCGCGGUAAUACGUAGGGUGCGAGCGUUAAUCGGAAUUACUGGGCGUAAAGCGUGCGCAGGCGGUUCGUUGUGUCGGUGGUGAAAUCCCCGGGCUUAACCUGGGAAUGGCCAUGGAAACUGGCGAACUGGAGUGCGGCAGAGGGGGGUGGAAUUCCGCGUGUAGCAGUGAAAUGCGUAGAGAUGCGGAGGAACACCGAUGGCGAAGGCAGCCCCCUGGGCUAGCACUGACGCUCAGGCACGAAAGCGUGGGGAGCAAACAGGAUUAGAUACCCUCGUAGUCC